rnacentral:rRNA from 1 species
CAGCAGCAGCCACGGGAAUACGGAGGGGGCUAGCGUUGUUCGGAAUUACUGGGCGUAAAGCGCACGUAGGCGGCUUGGUAAGUUAGAGGUGAAAGCCCGGAGCUCAACUCCGGAAUUGCCUUUAAGACUGCCGAGCUAGUAGGUGAGAGAGGUAAGUGGAAUUCCGAGUGUAGAGGUGAAAUUCGUAGAUAUUCGGAAGAACACCAGUGGCGAAGGCGGCUUACUGGCUCAUUCUAGACGCUGAGGUGCGAAAGCGUGGGGAGCAAACAGGAUUAGAUACCCCUGUAGUCCCUGUCUCUUAUAC